rnacentral:rRNA from 1 species
UGAAACACGGACCAAGGAGUUUAUGUAUGUGCGAGUCAUUAAGUGAUCAAAACUUAUUGGCGUAAUGAAAGUAAAGUAUUCUUUAUGAAUAUGAUAUAUGAUUGUUUUACGUUUACGUAAAACAAGUAGUAUAGUCCCAUCUAAUUUGCUUGCAAAUGGGUGGAGAUAGAGCAUAUGCAAUGAGACCCGAAAGAUGGUGAACUAUGCCUGAGCAGGAUGAAGUCAGAGGAAACUCUGAUGGAAGUCCGAAGCGGUUCUGACGUGCAAAUCGAUCGUCUGACUUGGGUAUAGGGGCGAAAGACUAAUCGAACCAUCUAGUAGCUGGUUCCCUCCGAAGUUUCCCUUAGGAUAGCUUCAACUAAUUUAAAUAGUUAUACUCGGUAAAGCGAACGAUUAGAGGUCUUGGGAACGAAAUGUUCUCAACCUAUUCUCAUACUCUUAAUGGGUAUGAUGUAUAUGUUUCUUAAUUGAACAUGUGCAUUGAAUAUAAUAGUUGAAAGUGGGCCAUUU